GACGGAGGAUGCAAGCGUUAUCCGGAAUGAUUGGGCGUAAAGCGUCUGCAGGUGGCAGUUCAAGUCUGCUGUCAAAGACCGGGGCUUAACUUCGGAAAGGCAGUGGAAACUGAACAGCUAGAGUAUGGUAGGGGCAGAGGGAAUUCCUGGUGUAGCGGGUGAAAUGCGUAGAGAUCAGGAAGAACAUCGGUGGCGAAGGCGCUCUGCUGGACCAUAACUGACACUCAGGGACGAAAGCUAGGGGAGCGAAUGGG
rnacentral:rRNA from 1 species